CAAAUGAGCACCUUGAACACCACCGCCGGCUCCGAGAAAGUGUAACAGGAAGUUGUUACGUUUACUUCGAGGAAUUUCCGUUUUCUGAGAGAGUGCAAGGAGGCCAGCGUCUCCUCCGUCUCCUCCACCAGUCAGACGGGCUAAGCUGGCUAGCCACAGGCAGGGUGAUGGCUGCUACUGCAAGUUCCUUGUAACAAUCUGCGGACUCGGACUAUGUGCCCAGUGCUUCGUAUGCAGGAUAUUGUGUGUCUUUGUGUGAGUGCAUCCGCUAUGCAAGGCGUGGGAUUUACAUCGGCACCAGCGCACGAAACAGCUUUUGCAGGGUCUUUAUACUUAUGAUGAAAAUGGCGUCCCUGAACGAAGAAGCGGUGCUGCAGGCACCCAUGCUCAAGCGCUCUCAAAGCAAUAGUCGCCUCAAAUCUAUCAACUACAAGUCACGUUGGUUUGUGCUCACCAAGACCUGCCUGCGGUAUCACGACGGAAAGCCAGAUGGCAAAGAAAAAGGGCGCUUGGAUCUGCGUACAGUGCGACUUGUGGAGCGUGUUGAUGACGGAGCACUUGAACGAGAGAAAGCAUUUCAGAUUGGCUACAAAGAUCGCCUUAUGUACAUUGUGGCAUCAUCAGAAGCACAACGAGAAGAAUGGAUAGGUGCUUUGAGGAAAUUGUGCGUAAACAAUGAUCAGCUGGCUGACAAAUUCCACUCGGGUGUCUGGUCUGGCGGUCGCUGGGGCUGCUGUGGUCGUGGAUCUCGUGGUGCCCCAGGAUGCCGAAGCACUUUGGUCACCGCCCCACACAGCGCGGAGUCCCUCAGUUCCAGGGGUAGCAUCACAUGUGGUGACCCUGUACCUGCAAGGACCAAGGACAUAUUGCCUAUCAAGGGUACUGUUGCUACAAAAUUGGUGACAGCACUGUAUUCAUUCCAAGCCAUAGAAAAAGGAGAUCUCUCAUUAGAAGCUGGCAAAGAAUACAUUGUACUAGAUGAUACUGGAGAGCACUGGUGGCAGGUUAAAGACAAGAAUGGGGCUGUGGGCUUUAUUCCGAGCAACUAUGUGGAAGAGAAGGCCGGCCUGUGGCAGCAUGAGUGGUACGCAGGAGACAUGUCCAGGCAGCGGGCCGAACAAAUUUUGCGCCAGGAAACUAAGGAAGGAGCCUUUGUGAUUCGCAACUCAUCCACCCAAGGCCUUUUCACACUGUCGCUUCUAGCAAACAGUCCCAAUGGCGUGUUCCAAGUGAAGCACUACCACGUCAAGAGCAGGCCUGGCGGCCAGCUAUACCUCUCCGAGCGACGCAGUUUCCCCUCGCUCCAGGAUCUGGUGCGAUACCACCGCCAUGACAGUGGAGGUCUGGCCACCAGGCUGCGCCACUGGCCCGCGCAGCUGCGCCGCACAGCUCCCACUGCUGGCCUCGGCCACGACAAAUGGGAAAUCGACCCGUCCGAGCUGACUCUUCUGGAAGAGCUUGGAAGUGGGCAGUUUGGUGUGGUGCGCCGAGGAAAGUGGAGGGGAUGUCGGGAUGUGGCUGUGAAAAUGAUGAAGGAAGGCACCAUGUCUGAGGAUGACUUUAUCGAAGAGGCAAAGCUUAUGACGAAGCUACAACACCCCAACUUGGUUCAGCUGUAUGGUGUCUGCAGCAAGCACCGUCCUAUAUUUAUUGUAGCGGAGUAUAUGAAACAUGGCUCCUUGUUGCAGUUCCUGCGCCGUCACGAGCGUGCUUUGUCCGAGAAAGGCCCUGUGCUGCUUCUUGACAUAUGCUUGCAAGUGGCUAGCGGCAUGGCCUACCUUGAGCUACACAACUACAUUCAUCGUGACCUGGCUGCACGGAACUGCCUUGUUGGCGAGAACUAUGUGGUCAAGGUGGCCGAUUUCGGGCUGGCAAGAUAUGUCAUUGAUGACGAGUACACCAGCUCUGGAGGAGCGAAGUUUCCCAUCAAAUGGGCUCCACCCGAAGUACUAGGCUACACUCGCUUCAGUAGCAAGUCCGAUGUAUGGGCAUAUGGUGUGCUCAUGUGGGAAGUGUUCACGUGUGGCAAGAUCCCUUACGGCCGGGCGGCCAAUGCGGAAGUGGUGGAGCAGGUGCAACAUGGCCAGCGGUUAGCCAAGCCUCCAGCAUGCCCUUCUGAUGUGUACCAGGUCAUGCGGUCCUGCUGGGAAAAGAAACCAGAUGCAAGACCAUCUUUUCGUUCUAUCAAAAGUCAGCUGGAAAAAGUCAUGGAUAAGGACCACUGAAGAAGGAAAUCUUUUGGCUUGAGCAGAAAAUCAUGUGAAACGGAAUGCACAAUCAUUUCCAGAUACGAACAUGAAAUCUGGUGGCCUGCAAUAGGUUGACAUCAAAUUGAAGCCAAGAUUGUUUGCAUGCAACAUCAGGUUAUAUUGUUUUUAUUGAUAGCACAUUUUUGUUAGUUGUUUAAGUUGACGAGCUUGUGCAUGCUCUCUCUAUUAAGUCUCGGUUGUUACUAGUACUUAUGUAUAGGCAGUCUUGAAAUAUUGUUUUGAAUCUCUCAUUUUUCUUCCCACCUGCAUGUUUGGUAUUUACACGUACAACCACAACUGCCAACUGGAUGUAACCAGUUUUGUUGUUUGUUGUUAUCCAUGACUUUGCUGUUGCUUUUUUAUGGACAGUCAUUUGUAUGUGCCGGCAGCAGUUAACAUGAGCUGUGAGUGGCUCAUCCUGUGUGCAAUUUUAGUUGCAAGUACGGAAGUAUGCAAGGUCGAGUUUACACUUUUGUUGCACUUGUCUCACUAAAGAUUUGCUUGAGUGCAGCAGCUGUUGUUUCUAAGCUGAACGUGCAGUGUUUUCCUGCAAAUUGGUAUUGUGGAUAAUGUUUACGAUUGUAGAGUGGCACAGUUAGAGGCAUUUAUUUGGUUUGUUUCUCGUACCCGUUUGUGUGUGUGCAUGUGUGUGUGUGUGUCUGGGUAUGCAGCAUGCCAGUCUAGAUACUUGUACUCAAGUCAUUGUUUUAAAAGCUUGCUUCAAUUUAUU
rnacentral:misc_RNA from 1 species